GUUGCCAGCUUGGCAUUAUUACAACGUUUUGUCCGCUUUUGUGUUUAUUCAUGUGUUAUCAUGGUUCUUGCCAGUAGUACUUCUUGUUUUCUGCCCGCCACCAGUGUCUUUCGUAACGAAUCGCAAGCGCCACAGCGGAGGAGAAGAAGAAAAAGCGGGCGGCGCCACUGCUUCAUGUGUAGUUGACUCUGCGACACCAAGACGCAAUGACUGUGGUGCGGAGUGGCCUCGCAUUCAUAUGGUGUCGGAGAAGACGAAAGGCAAAGACGCAAAACGUGGAAAUGUGCCUCCAAAGUGGAGGGAUUCGAUUGCGGGGGCUUGCUCUUCAUCCAUAUCAAUGGAACACUCCCGCGCCGAUAGCGUCAGCACUUGCACACGUUACGUUGGGUGUGCGCAGCGGUGCUUCUAAAUGGCUUUAAUUUACUGUUUUAAUCAUAUUUUUAAUUUAAA